UGAUAUGUCAACAUGUGAAACUACACAGAGGACUGCCAACCAAGAAUGCUUACCUGACCUUGAUGUCCAGAGCUUUCAUUGGGGUUUCAUUACGCAGUGAGAGCAAUAGGCCAGCUGGAGGUAAAACUCACAAGAAUGUGGGGGCCCCUACUAUUGGAUGUCUUUGGAGCUUUUCACUCUGAACUAGCCUGAGUCCACACCAAUUGAUCAAUUAUCAAUAAAUUUUGGCCUACUGAUGUUGGCUUCAGCUGCAGGCUGCUGCUUCCGGGUUUUGCUUCUGAAACUAUAAAGGAGCCUUGGCCACAAAAAUCUCCAUAGUAGAAGAUUAUACUCAUUGAAAGAAGCUUUGAUUCUUAUGCAUCCUAAAGAAACUGCCAUACAGUUUUCAAGAUUGACUAUACCAUCCUACAUUUCCACAAUGUAUGAAAGACCUCAUUUCUCCACAUCCUCACCAUAACUUGGAUCAAAUGAUAGAAGACUUGUGGGAUCACAAAUAAAAAUGUAUCACUGAAGGACCUAACAAAGGUAAGAUCCCUUAAAAGAAAUUAAGCAGAAUUUCAAGGAAUGGUUCUCCUCAUUGUGUUUUUCUAGCUGGGUUCCAUAGUAUAUGUGUUUCAUUUAUUCCAUCAUCUAAUUACAGUAAGACUGAUCUUUAUGUUUUCUGAUUUUAUCACUCCUACAUUACGAGGACAAUAACCAAGUUCAUCCUUAGUGGAUACUAAGUGAAGACACAAAGUCAUUUAUUAACAAGCAUGAAAUCAGUAUCCUCUAUUUCCUUGAUUUUAUGCUUACAUAAAAAUAUAUUCUUUUAGGUUUUUAUUAGUGUAGAAUAUAUGCAUUCAAUUAAUAAGGAUCCAAGUAUCUACACUUCCUGAAAAAGUCAUACUUGUUACUUUUAAAGAGCAAUGUAAUGUAAAGUUAUUGUAUAAAUGCUAUGUCUAUUCUGUUUCUUGGUUAUAUUUGCUUUACUUUUAAAUCUGCAACAUUUCUGAUCUCUUUGAUGAAAGGUUUACAUUCUAAACUGAAUUUAAUUCUGGAACCACUACAGAGCACUUUGUGAUGGAACAUUGCCAAUUAAAUGUCCACAAAUGUUUUUUUUUAAAAAGUAUAAGUCUCUGUUCCAUAAUUCUGGUAUGUAGUCUUUAGGUGGCACUGUGGUUCCAGUAGUAAAUGAUUUAAUAUUAGAGUCUUUUGUUAGGUUUAUGAAUAAAGAACUCUGCCACUAUUUUUGCAUUUAUUUUUCAUACUUAUGCCUUGUAUUACAGGAAUUAUAACUUUUUCUCACAUAUUAUUUCACAUCAUUGUAAACCUAAGAAUUAAGCAAAACACUCCUUUUAUUCCCCUUUGACAGAUGGCAAAAAUAAGUCUCAGAGAAGUUAAAUGGUUUUCACAGGCCUCCUCAUGCCCUACAGAAUAUUUUGAAAAAGAUGUUUUAUCUUUCUUCCUGGGCUGUGUCUGCUUUAGGGUCAUGCGCUUUCCCAAGUCCCCCAGCUCCAGAAUGAUUGACACUCACUUUGGUGAUGUUACUCACUUGGAUGAUGUUUCUGUUGAACAGAGAGCAGUGAUGGUUUCAGUAUGCCACGGUUCUCUUAAUCUCUUCAUCUCUUUGUUCAUCUUUACAUCUCUAUUCCAAAGAGGACAAUAGGCUUUAAUAAGUGUUUGGGUAAUUAAUGAACAUAGGGCAUAACAUUUAGAACUAUAUGCUAAAUGAAACUGUUCACGCAGUACAAAGGAAACAUACCUAACAAGAUAAAUAUUUUCCUUAGUGUUCCUCUAAAGGGACUCCCAUUUAUAUGUCCAGUUCCUAAAUUUAAUAUUGUGUUAAAGUUUUUGCCUAUCUGUUGAAAAUAUCUUCUUUCUCCAAACUCGAGUGUAUAAUCUAGAUCCAACUUUUGGGGAAAACUAACUAAACUAUGUAGUUGGUAUCCCUGCUUCUCUAGAAAGGCUUUCCAUAAUUUGACAUCUCCAACCAAUAAAAUAUGUGUUGGGCUUCAGUUAGAAAUUCUAUAGGUAGUCCUCAGAGCAGCCCAUUAAUGGGCUAGGCAUUCUCAUGUUCAUUCUCAAGUUCAAUCUCAAGUUCAUGCUCAAGUUACCCCAUAACUUCCCAUACUCCUUUUCUUCAGUGGAAUUAGUACUUCAUUAUUAGGUGGAGCACCAUCUCACUUUCAAAUGAUGCUCCUUUGGCCCGCAUAGAAUAAGAUUUGGGUCAAUGCUGAUCCACGUGGUCUUACUCACUACUUCUCUGACUAUACCAAGGUAUGACUACGGUUUCCUAUUUCUAUUUGUAAGUAGUCAAUUAAAUUAUUAACAAAAAACUCUCCUCUUCCCCAGGCUGGAGAGAGAGGAGAGAAAGUAAGUGCAUUGCUCUAAUUAUAGCUGGAACGGCUUGUUUCAUUGCACAUACGAAUUAUGGAAAAAGAAUCCAAUGUCAGUUUCUUUAAUGGUGCUUUCUAGCACCUCUUGAUUCUGAUACCAAACUUACUGUUUCUCUGAGUUUAUGCUAUGUAACUUAAAAGCACUUUCCAAAAUGUUGACUGCUUACUGUGAAAUGCCAAAGGGAGGGCAGAGCCCUUAAUCAUGGAGAAUUCAGGACAGAGGGAAAGGUAGAGCCAGAUGGUUGGAAAUAAUGUGGCUGACUGAUACCAAAUUGCACAUGAAUUUUACAAUACCCAAUCGGGUUUCAAAAGUUAUAUUUGAGUGAUUUCUAAUUUCUUAGUGCCUUGCUUAUAAUUUUCUUAAUGCUUUAAUGUCACGUCAUAUUUGGGUCACAAUUAUAUUGUAUUAGAAAUUUUCUAAUAACAAGGAUUAUGUUUUUUAUUUUAGUGUUUUCUAUCAUAAAAGCCUUUUGUGGUCUCACACUGACAGUAUCUUACCAGUCUAGGACUAAAGGGAAAAAUAAACUUAUUUCCACAGUAUUUCUCAGAUGACUGUAGCCCAAACAAAGCUUGCAUUAACAAUCUUAAAACAAUAACUUUAUAUUUCAAUAUUCACUCAUCCUCAAAGUUCCUAUGAGUACAUAUGUAUAUAUGUUGCAAGUGAACAGUUAAUAGAUGUGGAUUUAUUGGAUCCCUGUAACAACCUAAAAGAAAGAAAUAUAAGCACAGAAAUAAGAAUCCACAUACAUUGUUUUAUGGAAGAGGGUGAUGAUAUCUAUUUUAUAGAUGAGGAACCUACCUUUCAAUAAGAAGGCAAAUCAUUUCCAUAAAUUUCACUGCAUUUCCUACAUUUCUAAAAAUAAAACAAAAGUCUGAAUAUAAGAAAUUAAAGUAAAAAUAUUUUCAUUUGUAAGUAGAGAAGAGACAAGAUGAAUAUUUUGUCCUUUAGCGUAUAUAAACAUUUGUGGACAUUAGAAUUAUCCAGACACAUAGGAGACCUGAAUAUAUUGACAUGAUUAAAAUAUAUUGCUUUUUUAUGUUGCCAUAGAAUGUAUAUUGUUUUGACAAGAUGAGACACAUAUUUACAACACUGCAUAUAAUCCAAGAUUUCAGAGUUUUAAGUUUCACUGUGAUCAAAAUUGAUACUUCUUAAAAACUGUGAACUUGUAUUCAGAAUUUGGGGGACAAAGAACUAAAAGUCAAGUGAAAAUUUCCUUGAGGCAAUUACAUUAAAGCCAAAUAACCUAGAGAAAAAUGAAGGAAUGUAUGUAUACAUAUAUGCUAGUUAAUUUUCACACAUAUAAAUACAUUAUACAUAUGAUUGUUUUAAAAUUAUUGGUGAUUUUUCUGGGGUAUUUCAUCUUCAUUAAUGUUCAUUUUAAACUAAUGAUAUGAAGGUCCAUUUAUACUCCUAGGGUCAAUGAACACAUGAUUUAGUUUCUUAGCUAAAUUUCAAUCAAGGCUGUGAUACUUUCCAGCUAAGUAUUUUUCAACAGUUUCUUGAUCUCUGAAAACUUUGAUUUAAUUACUCACAUGGCUUAUGGAGUUGAUGGGAGGGUGCAGAGACAUAUAACACAUGUAGAAUAUCUAACCAGGUGCCAUUUUAAUGGCAUAGUAACACUGUAAUAAAUG